rnacentral:rRNA from 1 species
UGGGGAAUAUUGCACAAUGGGGGAAACCCUGAUGCAGCAACGCCGCGUGAAGGAAGACGGUUUUCGGAUUGUAAACUUCUUUUCUUAGUGAAGAAGCAAGUGACGGUAGCUAAGGAAUAAGCAUCGGCUAACUACGUGCCAGCAGCCGCGGUAAUACGUAGGAUGCGAGCGUUAUCCGGAAUUACUGGGUGUAAAGGGAGCGCAGGCGGGACUGCAAGUUGGAUGUGAAAUACCGCAGCUUAAACUGCGGAGCUGCAUCCAAAACUGUAGUUCUUGAGUGGAGUAGAGGCAAGCGGAAUUCCGAGUGUAGCGGUGAAAUGCGUAGAUAUUCGGAGGAACACCAGUGGCGAAGGCGGCUUGCUGGGCUCUAACUGACGCUGAGGCUCGAAAGUGUGGGGAGCAAACAGGAUUAGAUACCC